UGAAACAAUGCUACCGUUUGAAGGGUGGGCAGAGAUGAGCACUGACAGGCACUGGCCAUGCCCAAGUCCUGUGAAUAAGCGCCAGGCCAGACACGCCCACAAGGAUACCAUGAGUCAGGAGACCAGUCCAAUGUGUCAAUGUUUUGACCUUUAUAUGACUUGUGUGGUGGUUUGCAAUGACAUGACCUGGGAUCGAACCCCUAACCUUCCAAUUUCAGGGCAGACUGUUUAACCACAAGGUCACUGAAUGUUUUCUGCAAAAAAAUAAUACUGCUAAUUUAAAACGUAUCCGAAGGAGGGAGGAUAGAGGAAUGCCUAGCGAUGGAGUUCAGUAUAUCUGUGUAAAGAGGACAGUAUGUUAUCUUCAGAGAAAAGCAACCAGAAACCAAGAACAGAUAAAGCCUUUCUGUGACUCUGGGAUUAUAACUAACUAUUUACUCAUACAAUUUAAUUGGUUGGUGAUAAACAAAUUACAAACCUAUCUGAUUGGACCUGCAUGAUACUGUAGUAUCACUUAACCUUUUGAAAUUACAGGGCAGAUGUUGAUGUACAGUAUAUAACCCGGAAAAGCUAUAAACCCAUGUGGUGAAAUAGUUUAGGUGCUUGCUAUAAGCAAUAUGGUGUAACUGCAGACCGCAAUUAGGGGUGUUUUUUGAGGGUUAUGGUGUUUCCAGUAAACGUUGGUGUGUGGUGUCAAUGACACCUUGAAUGGGUUGAUCACUGAGGUCAUUGACAUGGGUAUGAUUCCAGAGUCAUUACUGUAAACUGGUUUCGAUUUCUAUGUUUUUAUCGGUGGCGCGAUCAUCAUGACAUCAUUUACAGAGCUAUUUAGCUAUUUAGUCACUUUCAGAUGAGGCGUGGCUCUAGAGUUACUGUCAUUAUUAUUGGCUGAUUACAUUUUAGAACCUGGAUGUAACUGCUGUAGGCUAGUUGGUAGUGGAAUGACAGGGAGACAGACACACAGACGUGAGAAUCCGUCUCAUUUCUGGCACAGGAUGUUGUUGGAGAGUCAUGCAUUCUUACUUUCUAUUUCUAAACCACCAUGCCUGCAUGCAUAAAGAGACUCUUUUCGGUGGAAAUCCCCAAGGGAUUCUCAAAGGAGAUUGUUUCCUGAAGCAGGAGUCUGGAAUGCAGCAAACAAGUCUGGGCUCCCAUUGGAAUGUACACCUACUCCCAUUUAUAUGCACACGCAGACACAAGCAUGCAUGUACAUGUACACACACAUAUACACACACUUGAAAACAGGUGGACACAAAUGCAUGUGUAGGAAUA